GACGAACGCUGGCGGCGUGCUUAACACAUGCAAGUCGUACGGUAAGGCCCUUUCGGGGGUACACGAGUGGCGAACGGGGGAGUAACACGUGAGUAACCUGCCCACAACUUUGGGAUAACGCUAGGAAACUGGUGCUAAUACUGGAUAUGUGCCCCUGCUGCAUGGUGGGGGUUGGAAAGCUCCGGCGGUUGUGGAUGGACUCGCGGCCUAUCAGCUUGUUGGUGGGGUAGUGGCCUACCAAGGCGGCGGCGGGUAGCCGGCCUGUGAGGGUGACCGGCCACAUUGGGACUGAGAUGCGGCCCAGACUCCUACGGGAGGCAGCAGGGGGGAAGAUUGCACAAUGGGCGCAAGCCUGAUGCAGCAACGCCGCGUGCGGGAUGACGGCCUUCGGGUUGUAAACCGCUUUCAGCAGGGACGAAGCUUUUUGUGACGGUACCUGCAGAAGAAGCACCGGCUAACUACGUG
rnacentral:rRNA from 1 species